rnacentral:rRNA from 1 species
UACGUAGGUGGCAAGCGUUGUCCGGAUUUAUUGGGUUUAAAGGGUGCGUAGGCGGCUUAAUAAGUCAGUGGUGAAAGCCGAUCGCUUAACGAUCGAACUGCCAUUGAUACUGCUAGGCUUGAGUAUAGAUGAGGUAGGCGGAAUUGACAGUGUAGCGGUGAAAUGCAUAGAUAUUGUCAAGAACACCAAUUGCGAAAGGCAGCUUACUAAGUUAUAACUGACGCUGAGGCACGGAAAAGUGCGGGGGAUCAAAACAGG